rnacentral:lncRNA from 1 species
AUGUCUUGCCUAAUUUCAGGACGGUGGAGGCGGAAGGGAGAGGCCAGCCGGGCAUGCCCGUGGGUCCAGGCGGGGGCAAGGGCCUCUGGCUGGCCGCCCCACCCCCCACCCCGUAGUUUCCGGCGUAAAAGAGCGAUGAGGUUUAUUUCCCUUCUGACAACGCGUCGAUUCGACUUGCCUACUCCGCUGGGCACCCCGGUGCAGAUGAAAGAGGGCGAUGCAUCAAACAUUAACGAUCUCUGCCCGGGAGGGGGUGUGCGGGCUGCAGGCGCCCUGCCCGGGGAUCUGCCAGCCUCGCAGCCUCGCUGGCUGAGGACCAGACCGCGCAGGCGCAGACGCGGCCUGGAAAGCAGAGCGGGGUGGGGGGGGCAGAGGCCCCUCCGUGCACACUCACCCCCACCCACACAUGAAAGCCGGCCCCGGGAGUGCCAGAAACUGACCACAGAUCAAUAUGCCUCCCUGAUCAGCUGCCUCGUGCCAGUGAGGCCACCGAGAUCCUGGGCUCAUCUGUGACAGCAGUUCGCAUUGCCUUGACUAAUCAAGCUUCGGAGGUGAAGACCAAAGGCCCCCUGCCCUCGGGAGUUUGCAGGACACGGGGAGAUGGCAAACGUAGAGGCUGUAACCCAAGGUGUGUGAGCCCCUUCAGAGCACAGGGAAGGACGCGGGGGAGCCAGGGACCAAUUCAGGGGGCCCGAGGCCAGGGAGAGGACAUCUCAGAGCUGCUAAGGGAGAGGACAGGCCGUUCGGGGAGGGACACCCGUUGGAGCAAAGGCAUGAGCGCUGAAGUCCAGGCGAUGGGGCUGGGGGGGCCAGGCUGUGCAAGCCCAGAGAGAGUGGGCUUGUUUUGUAGGUGAUGGGAGCCACAGAAGGUGAGCGAGAGAGCAUGAUGGGUACACGGUGCCUCGGGCAGGCCCCUGGAGUUGCCAUGGAGAGGCCGCCUGGAGCAGAUGUUAGAUGUGGGAGACCAGGAACAAGGUGGGGAUGGAGGGAGAAGUUCAAGAGGAUGGACUCCCAGGACCCGAGACAGAAGAGGGGCAGUGUGGUGGUGGGAGCGGUGUGGAAGGCCUCCCUCCCCUCUUGCAGGCUAUGCCCUGGAUGUGGGGGGAGGCCCCUUUCGUGGAGAUGGGGCGCCCCGGGAAGAAGCGGAGUGAGACAAUCCUGGUGCCUUGACCCCACGGUGGACAGUAGCCCUUCCCAUGGCCUGU